AGAGAUUCUACAAUAUUUUUACUACGAUGUGCUCUUCCAUUCUGAGCCAUAAACAGAUAAUCUGCAUCUCUAUUAAUUUUCAAUUUUACUACACUCGGACAGAAAAGAGCAGUUAGGAGAAUAGAUAAUCUAACGAGGGGCUUGCCUCAUGGAACAACUUUCUACGGAAAACUGACACCUAUUUAAGUGUUAUUAACGUGAAGAAAAUAAGGAAAAUUCCACCUGAUUAGCCAAUUAACUACUAGUGUUCAGUGGUUUUUUACCCACUCGACCAUUGGAUCCCACGAAAAUCAAGAAAUGGAUUUAGGUAGAUUUUGUACAGCUAAUGGUCCUGAUCGAAAGUGUCAAUACACAAAAAGUCAAAAAAUAAAGAAUUUUUGAGAUUAAACAGGUGAAUGAGUGAAAAGUGAC